rnacentral:rRNA from 1 species
GAUGAACACUGGCGGCGUGCCUAAUACAUGCAAGUCGAGCGAACGGACGAGAAGCUUGCUUCUCUGAUGUUAGCGGCGGACGGGUGAGUAACACGUGGAUAACCUACCUAUAAGACUGGGAUAACUUCGGGAAACCGGAGCUAAUACCGGAUAAUAUUUUGAACCGCAUGGUUCAAAAGUGAAAGGCGGUCUUGCUGUCACUUAUAGAUGGAUCCGCGCUGCAUUAGCUAGUUGGUAAGGUAACGGCUUACCAAGGCAACGAUGCAUAGCCGACCUGAGAGGGUGAUCGGCCACACUGGAACUGAGACACGGUCCAGACUCCUACGGGAGGCAGCAGUAGGGAAUCUUCCGCAAUGGGCGAAAGCCUGACGGAGCAACGCCGCGUGAGUGAUGAAGGUCUUCGGAUCGUAAAACUCUGUUAUUAGGGAAGAACAUAUGUGUAAGUAACUGUGCACAUCUUGACGGUACCUAAUCAGAAAGCCACGGCUAACUACGUG